GCUUUUUUACCCACCCGUGGAUCAAUCGAUGUUCACUGUUGAUUCGGGUGGCAUUCUCUUCAUUUCUAUCUCCUCACACAAAUGAGAAAAAAAAAAAAAAAACAGGUGAAAAGACUGCUGUUUAGUGUUCUUCAAAUUCUCUCUCGUGUUCCAUGUGUGUAUUAUAAGCAUAACUCAUAAGCUUGACCAACGAGGUUCUUGUUCUAAAAUUCCCAAGAAAAAACAAGUGCGGAAGGUUCAAGAUUGGAACUUCGUCAGUCAAUCUUUAGUCAUGGGUUCUGAAAUUACGAUACUUCUGGGCUCUUUCGAUUUAGUGAGAGAUUGUAUGACUAAGAGCUUAGGUGUUUGUUUAAUUGACACUUGACAGUUACUCUUGUUUGCAAUUCAUGGUGUUAUUGACAUUUGACUGUUAACAUAGUUUGUUGAUUGUUACUGUAGUUGCAUUCUCAGGCUCUUUCUAUCCAGUAAUUUUUGGGCUAUCUGAUUCUUGAAGUAGACAAAGGAUUUUAGGAAUAUGUCGAAAAGCAAUAAAUCGCCCAAAAAUGACCAACAGUCCAUAAAAUAUUGGCGGAUUCAACAUGGAGGAGCGUCCUCUCAGAAGGAUCUUUCGUGUGCAGAUUAUUCGCCUUCUCUUUCCAACGACGAGAAUAAGCAACGGUAUGGAAGUUUUCAACCAAAGUCCCCUCAGAUACUGAGCACAUCUCAGCUCAUCUCUGCAAUCGGUCAGGUAUGCUAUUCUGCAAGUAAAUCACUCUCGGUUUUACUCCCAAAAGAAAAUUUGAAUCAGGAUGAUAAUGGACUCUCAAGAGAGAAAAUUCUGGAUAACAUUGGAGAGAGAAAGAAUGACCUGGUAUAUACUUCAAAUGGCACUAAAUUCUAUCCUCUUACCGCGGAUGCUGCAAAGAUUGUGCGGGAAAGACUGGAUUUUCCUACGGUAACGAAGAAGAUAUCAGUGUUUGAAUCUCCUAAUGAAAGUCAGGAGUAUAUCCAUUCUUUAUUACAGAGGUUUUCAAAGGCUAGUGAUAAAAUAACAAAUAAAGAUUGUAAAAGAAUGAAACUAGCGAGGGAGGAAAUGUUAUUUAAAUCAGGAAAUGUAUAUCAGUGGGCAGGUAGAAAUGCUGUUGAGAUGCUAAAUUGUCAAAUGAAUGUUCCUCAGCCUGAGAACCUGGAAACUAAAUCCUCAGUUUCUGGCAGUGACAUUUCCUUAGAUACAAGCGCCCCUGCAUUAGCAAACGAGGAGAGGGAUGUGUGCAGUCAUGAUUCAAUCACACACCAAAGUCAAUCAUUGUCCAAUGCUGAGGCAGAUGUGGGUGAUUGUCACAUAAACAGUUUAGCUUUAUAUACUAGUGCUUCUGAGCAGUGCCAACAUGACAUUGAUGACAAUGAAUCACUGGAAGUUCAAAGAAAGCAAUUGUUGGAUAUAACUAAUGAUGAACCUAAGCUUCAGACUUUCUCUGCAACCCAUCUGAAGCCUCGUAAGUCCCAAGCCAAGCAAGAACAUGCUUUUUCAGGGGCGUUAGCUGGUGUAUGUGUCAGCCUUUGUCUGCAUCCUGUUGACACAAUCAAGACAGUUAUUCAAUCAUGCCGUGCUGAACACCAGUCCAUCUUUUACAUUGGCAAAUCAAUUGUUUCUGAUAGAGGUUUGCUUGGACUAUAUCGUGGAAUUACCACAAAUAUUGCAUCUUCUGCUCCAAUUUCUGCAGUUUAUAUCUUCUCCUAUGAAUCAGUCAAAGCAGCUUUGCUUCCUUAUCUUCCAAAGGAGUAUUAUUCUAUUGCCCAUUGUGUAGGAGGUGGUUGUGCAAGCAUUGCUACAUCUUUCAUUUUUACUCCUAGUGAGCGAAUAAAGCAGCAGCUGCAAGUUCGUUCACAAUAUCGCAACUGUUGGGAUGCAUUGGUUGGAAUUAUCAGAAACGGGGGUUUUACCUCCCUAUAUGCAGGUUGGAGAGCUGUACUAUGCCGGAAUAUUCCACAUUCAAUUAUCAAGUUUUACACAUAUGAAAGUUUGAAGGAAGUGAUGCCAUCAAGUGUUCAACCCUACACAUUACAAACUUAUGUGGAGGAUUAGCUGGAUCUACUGCUGCUUUAUUCACAACUCCUUUUGAUGUGAUCAAGACUAGAUUACAGACACAGGUUCCUGGAUCUUCAAACCAAUACGAUAGUGUGCUCCACGCCCUCUACGAAAUUAGUAAGGUUGAAGGUUUGAAGGGCUUGUACAGGGGGUUGAUUCCAAGGUUGAUUAUGUACAUGACGCAAGGAUCACUGUUUUUUGCUUCAUAUGAAUUUUUCAAGAGGGCAUUUUCUCUGGAAGUAUCACAUGGAAGGGAUGUUGAGAGAGAAGAACCUACGAAGUAACUAAUAGGAGGGUGGCUUCCCCAAAUUUUGAUAGUUUGUAUUCUUGGUAACUAGUUAGUGUAAAAAAAGUCUGUUUAAUUGUGCCACAACUAGUAAAGCUGUUUCAUAAACUGUAUAUUUGAAGAAUAAUUUGAAAUUCUUCUGUAGCAUCAUCUUACAUAUGAAGAAUUUGCAAAAUGUGUUUCCACUUUUCAAUCUCAAA